rnacentral:rRNA from 1 species
CCGAACCCACACCUGUUGAAAAAGGUCGGGAUGAGCUGUGGCUAGGGGUGAAAGGCCAAUCAAACUCGGAGAUAGCUGGUUCUCUGCGAAAUCUAUUUAGGUAGAGCGUCAUCCGAAUACCCUCGGGGGUAGAGCACUGGAUGGGCUAGGGGGUCCCAACGACUUACCAAACCUAACCAAACUCCGAAUACCGAGGAGUACUAGAUGGCAGACACACUGCGGGUGCUAAGGUCCGUAGUGGAGAGGGAAACAGCCCUGACCACCAGCUAAGGUCCCUAAGUUAUCACUAAGUGGGAAACGAUGUGGGAGUGCUUAGACAACCAGGAGGUUGGCUUAGAAGCAGCCACCCUUUAAAGAAAGCGUAAUAGCUCACUAGUCGAGUCGGCCUGCGCGGAAGAUAUAACGGGGCUAAACUGAUAACCGAAGCUGUGGAUGCGCAUUUAUGCGCAUGGUAGAGGAGCGUUCUGUAAGCCGUUGAAGGUGAAUCGUAAGGUUUGCUGGAGGUAUCAGAAGUGCGAAUGCUGACAUGAGUAACGAUAAGGGGGGUGAAAAACCCCCCCGCCGAAAGAUCAAGGUUUCCUGUCCAACGUUAAUCGGGACAGGGUGAGUCGGCACCUAAGGCGAGGGCGAAGGCCGUAGUCGAUGGAAAAUCGGUUAAAAUUCCGAUACCGAUUCUUACUGCGAUGGAGGGACGGAGCAGGCUAGGCUAGCACGGCGUUGGUAGUCCGUGUUUAAGCGUGUAGGUAGGGGGAUUAGGUAAAUCCGGUUCCCUGUUGAUCUGAGACGUGAUGACGAUCUCUUGGGGCGACCCUUGAGAGAAGUAGUUGAUGCCAUACUUCCAGGAAAAUCUUCUAAGCUUCAGGUAAGAAUUGACCGUACUGUAAACCGACACAGGUGAUCAGGUAGAGAAUACCAAGGCGCUUGAGAGAACUUGGGUGAAGGAACUAGGCAAAAUGGUACCGUAACUUCGGGAGAAGGUACGCCGGUUUUGGUGAUGGGACUUGCUCCCUAAGCUGAGGCUGGCCGAAGUGACCAGGUGGCUGCGACUGUUUAUUAAAAACAUAGCACUCUGCAAACACGUAAGUGGACGUAUAGGGUGUGACGCCUGCCCGGUGCCGGAAGGUUAAUUGAUGGGGUUAUCUUCGGAGAAGCUCUUGAUCGAAGCCCCGGUAAACGGCGGCCGUAACAAUAACGGUCCUAAGG